AUGGACAAUGAAAUGAUACAGGUGGAAGCAUUCGGAUUGAAUAAGAGAAAUGCACCAGUCCUCCUGAAAUCUGGAGGGUGAGCACGUGGGUUGGAAGGAUCAGACAGCACGGGAUCCUCGGCUUCACUGUCUGAAGAACAGGGCUUCCGUGUGGCACUGCGGAAAACGAAGCCUCCUCGGGCAUCACGUGAGCUCUGAGUGGGGAGCUGGGGCUGCUUCUAUUGAGCC
rnacentral:lncRNA from 1 species